rnacentral:rRNA from 1 species
UACGGAGGAUCCAAGCGUUAUCCGGAAUCAUUGGGUUUAAAGGGUCCGUAGGCGGUCUAAUAAGUCAGUGGUGAAAUCCUUCCGCUUAACGGGAGAACGGCCAUUGAUACUGUUAGACUUGAAUUAUUAGGAAGUAACUAGAAUAUGUAGUGUAGCGGUGAAAUGCUUAGAGAUUACCAUGGAAUACCAAUUGCGAAGGCAGGUUACUACUAAUGGAUUGACGCUGAUGGACGAAAAGCGUGGGUAGCGAACAGG